GAUGAACGCUGGCGGCGUGCUUAACACAUGCAAGUCGAACGAAGCACUUAUGACAGAUUCUUCGGAUGAUGGAUUAAGUGACUGAGUGGCGGACGGGUGAGUAACGCGUGGGUAACCUGCCUCAUACAGGGGGAUAACAGUUAGAAAUGACUGCUAAUACCGCAUAAGCGCACAGGACCGCAUGGUCUAGUGUGAAAAACUCCGGUGGUAUGAGAUGGACCCGCGUCUGAUUAGCUAGUUGGUAAGGUAACGGCUUGCCAAGGCGACGAUCAGUAGCCGACUGAGAGGGUGACCGGCACAUUGGGACUGAGACAGGCCCAAAUCCUACGGGAGCAGCAGUGGGGAA
rnacentral:rRNA from 1 species